rnacentral:sRNA from 1 species
CAAUUGAUGCCUUUUAAAGGCGGAUAUUGAGAUUUUUGAUUCUACUAAUAUCAAGACCGGAGUCUUCUAAUCGAUGGUUUGAUUAGAGCUCAAAGAACCCAAAAUUGACCUAAUACCCUGACUCGUCAAAUCAAUACAUCAAAUGCUAGAGUCUUCCCGUCCAUAGUUUUAUUGGAGCCCAAUGGAUACAGCAUUUCCCUAUUACCGAAUUGUGUCAAUUAAAGAAUCCUGGGGAUUCUCAUUCUUUUUCAAUUGAAGAUAAAACAAGAAUAAUGUAUAGUAUAUACAUUUAGUUUAUUUUCCCCAUUAUUACAUACAAGACAAUUAUUAAAUGUAUAUGUUACUUUGGCGCACGAGCAAAGCAAAUUUGAAGCCUUAACUUUUAUAACCACCCAGAACUAUAGCAAUUUCAAAUCCCACGUCUGAAGGCCUAAGGACAUCAUGGAUAUUAGCUGGUACCUUAUUUUUACUUUUAUGGCAGCAAAACCAAGCCUAGUUCCAACGGGAAAGAACCGCCCCAGGACUGAGCACGGCCGGCGGCGAGGAGGUAGCGACUCCAAGAGGAAUAAGGGCCCAAGGUGGUGGUUCGUUACAUAAAUUAAAUGGCGCCCAGCGUGGGGCCUGCAACUGGUCGUUUUCAGACUUUCACAGAAUCCGAUAAACCAGUAAUGUGUCACCUAAAUGAUGAUGAUACCAGAUUUAUUUAGAAGGAUAUCUUUGAAAACUUUUUCGGUGACUUUUGGUUUGUGGAAAUGUUGCUGCGAAAUCAUACACCGGAACGGAAUAAAUGAUAACUUUUAUUUAUUUCCUUAUCUUCUCUUAUCCUUUUCUUUUUCUUUCAUUUCCUUGGGAUUUUAAAUACGGAUUGAAUUAGCUGAUUUUUAUUGGUUUCUUACCUAGGCGAAAACUCGAGGAACUUUGUUGUUGAACAUGGUGUUUCAUUAAGGAUUUGUGUUUUUUUUAACUAUUUUGCUAAAAAAACAUAUCUUGUGAAGAUGAUCUCAG